rnacentral:lncRNA from 1 species
AGAAGGAGGAAGGUCAGCAGCCCCGACAGCCGACAGUCACAGCAGCUCUGACAAGAGCGUUCCUGGAGCCCAGCUCCUCUCCACAGAGGACAAGCAGGCAGCAGAGACCAUGGGCCCCCCCUCAGCCGCUCCCCGUGGAGGGCACAGGCCCUGGCAGGGGCUCCUGAUCACAGUUCACUAUUGAAGCCCUGCCGUCCAGUGCUGCAGAGGGAAAGGAUGUUCUUCUACUGGCCUGCAAUAUUUCAGAAACUAUUCAAGCCUAUUAUUGGCACAAGGGGAAAACGGCAGAAGGGAGCCCUCUCAUUGCUGGUUAUAUAACAGACAUUCAAGCAAAUAUCCCAGGGGCCGCAUACAGUGGUCGAGAGACAGUAUACCCCAAUGGAUCCCUGCUGUUCCAAAACAUCACCCUGGAGGACGCAGGAUCCUACACCCUACGAACCAUAAAUGCCAGUUACGACUCUGACCAAGCAACUGGCCAGCUCCACGUACACCAAAACAACGUCCCAGGCCUUCCUGUGGGGGCCGUCGCUGGCAUCGUGACUGGGGUCCUGGUUGGGGUGGCUCUGGUGGCCGCCCUGGUGUGUUUUCUGCUUCUCUCCAGGACUGGAAGGGCCAGCAUCCAGCGUGACCUCAGGGAGCAGCCGCCCCCAGCCUCCACCCCUGGCCAUGGUCCCUCUCACAGAUCCACCUUCUCGGCCCCUCUACCCAGCCCCAGAACAGCCACUCCCAUCUAUGAGGAAUUGCUAUACUCUGAUGCAAACAUUUACUGCCAGAUCGACCACAAAGCAGAUGUGGUCUCUUAGGUUCCUCUGGGAGCUGCUCUUGUGGGUUGAUGGAGCGUCCCCGAAGCUCCCAGCCCUGGGGACGGGGAAGGACAUGGAGCCUGAGCCAGAGAACCAGCUCUGAGUCCUGAGGAGACACAGGCCUGGGGACAGGGAGGGAUGGGAGUCCCUGCUGAAUAUCUGGAGACCCUGACAGGUUGCCCUGGGCUCUGGGUGGGCCGGGACAAAGGCCUCUCAUCACCACAGGAAGCGGGGGCUUGCAAGGAAAGUGAAUGGGCCUGUGGCCCACCCGGGGUCACCAGGAAAGGAUCUGAAUAAAGAGGACCCUUCCUCUCAU